rnacentral:rRNA from 1 species
AGAGUUUGAUCCUGGCUCAGAACGAACGCUGGYGGCGUGCUUAACACAUGCAAGUCGAACGUGAUCCAGAGCUUGCUCUGGUGAAAGUGGCGCACGGGUGAGUAACGCGUGGAUAACCUGCCCUGGUAUCUGGGAUAACAUCUCGAAAGGGGUGCUAAUACCGGAUAAGCCUACGGACUCCUCGGAGUCUGCAGGAAAAGGAGGCCUCUAUUUAUAAGCUUCCGUAUCAUGAUGGGUCCGCGUACCAUUAGCUAGUUGGUGGGGUAAUGGCCUACCAAGGCGACGAUGGUUAGCUGGUCUGAGAGGAUGAUCAGCCACACUGGAAAUGAGACACGGUCCAGACUCCUACGGGAGGCAGCAGUGGGGAAUUUUGCGCAAUGGGGGAAACCCUGACGCAGCAACGCCGCGUGAGUGAUGAAGGCUUUCGGGUCGUAAAGCUCUGUCAGAGGGGAAGAAAUGAAACGUGCUAAUAUCACGUUUUCUUGACGGUACCCUCAAAGGAAGCGCCGGCUAACUCCGUGCCAGCAGCCGCGGUAAUAC